rnacentral:rRNA from 1 species
UGGGGAAUAUUGCACAAUGGGCGCAAGCCUGAUGCAGCCAUGCCGCGUGUAUGAAGAAGGCCUUCGGGUUGUAAAGUACUUUCAGCGGGGAGGAAGGGAGUAAAGUUAAUACCUUUGCUCAUUGACGUUACCCGCAGAAGAAGCACCGGCUAACUCCGUGCCAGCAGCCGCGGUAAUACGGAGGGUGCAAGCGUUAAUCGGAAUUACUGGGCGUAAAGCGCACGCAGGCGGUUUGUUAAGUCAGAUGUGAAAUCCCCGGGCUCAACCUGGGAACUGCAUCUGAUACUGGCAAGCUUGAGUCUCGUAGAGGGGGGUAGAAUUCCAGGCGUAGCGGUGAAAUGCGUAGAGAUCUGGAGGAAUACCGGUGGCGAAGGCGGCCCCCUGGACGAAGACUGACGCUCAGGUGCGAAAGCGUGGGGAGCAAACAGG